GUCAAGAUGGCCGAGUGGUUAAGGCGCCAGACUUAAGUUCUGGUCUUCGAGAAAGGUGUGGGUUCGAACCCCACUCUUGACA
rnacentral:tRNA from 1 species